CCUACGGGUGGCAGCAGUGAGGAAUAUUGGUCAAUGGGCGUAAGCCUGAACCAGCCAAGUCGCGUGAGGGAUGAAGGUUCUAUGGAUCGUAAACCUCUUUUAUAAGGGAAUAAAGUGUGGGACGUGUCCUGUUUUGUAUGUACCUUAUGAAUAAGGAUCGGCUAACUCCGUGCCAGCAGCCGCGGUAAUACGGAGGAUCCGAGCGUUAUCCGGAUUUAUUGGGUUUAAAGGGAGCGUAGAUGGGUUGUUAAGUCAGUUGUGAAAGUUUGCGGCUCAACCGUAAAAUUGCAAUUGAUACUGGCAGUCUUGAGUACAGUUGAGGUAGGCGGAAUUCGUGGUGUAGCGGUGAAAUGCAUAGAUAUCACACAGAACACCGAUUGCGAAGGCAUCUCACGAAUCCGCGAUUGACGCUGAUGCACGAAAGCGUGGGUAUCAAACAGGAUUAGAUACCCCAGUAGUC
rnacentral:rRNA from 1 species